CAAUGCCGUGGACACUCCGAGGGAAUGCCAUUGACAGGAUCAAAGGUCAAGGACCUAACCAUUAGGCAUCUAUGAUGCCUCAGGUCAAAGGACUACUUUGCAUAUUGCAACCUUAGAGUUCUUACAUGACAUGUAUGUUCGAACUCUGAUUUGAUCGUAGUUCAGUGUACUCAAUUAAUCUUUCGAGCACCUAUGUGUCUGUCUUAGUGUCCAACACCAAAUCACUUGAGACUAGUCAUACUCACGCUUGAGUCAACAUAACACAUACUAACCUUAGUGGAUUGUCAAUGCCCAAUUGGCAAUCCUAUGGUUAGGAACGUUUUAGGAAUGAACAUAAGAGAAAGGUCUCGAUAAUCUAACUUACUUAGAUCACUUAUCUCUUAGAACAAAUACAUUCCUUGGAUUCACUUAUUGCUUAAACACAUGAU
rnacentral:lncRNA from 1 species